CCUUUCAAGUAUGCAGGAGACGGCAGGCCAUGGCCCAGGAGGCAGAGAUGCAGUGCCGACGAGAUGAGGAAGAAAAAACUGUACGUCUUUCUGUUUCCUUGCAAUCGCCGGGCUCCUAGACAAACACACGGACCACGCCCUACGCACGGACGGCUUGACAAUCGAAGCCCUCCCAGAGAUGCUGAGAAAGAAUGAUCUCAAAACCAUUCAAAUGGCUCCUUCCCUAUACGAAACUUCAACUUAUAUCUCGAGGAUCAAAGUGGACAUAAAAUGAUGAUUAUGGAUCUGCGGAUGAUAUCAAGGUGCACAAGGUUCUAAUGCUUCAUCAAAAAGCAAAAAAAAAAUCUUAUCAUGAAAAAUAUAUAUAAGGAGGCACUAGAUGUGUUGAUGGUGGUCGAGGUAUGCAUUGUUGCCUUAUGUGAUUGUUUUGGUCCUACUAUAAGAAGCAUGUGCAUCUUUUAGAUUGCUACAUAUUGUGGGAAAAAAUGAUGUGAGAUCUGGAAAUGCCUAAGUAUGGGUUUAUAAUAACGGGCCUCAAGUUCUAGUUUUUCCCCGGGCCCAUGCAAUCUCAACAUCAGCCCUACCUCGGAGAUGCUCAUAGGGGUAUGGUGUAUGUGCGUGCGUUCAUAAAGACAAGUGUAUGUAAGCAUCUGUGUUUGUACUCUGUUAACAAACAAUUUUCGACGCAUAUAUUGAAAUUUGGAAGACUAGAAUUAUGCUUAAGGAAAUCUCUAAUUAAUAACUUAUACUGCACAAGCAAACCCCACCGUCGAGUUGUAAGGGCGCUAGCUUUCCCUCUAAACAUCGCCAUGAUUCCAUCGCCGAUGACCUUCCCGUCAGUAUGGAAUGAAUUUUUUACAUGACUUUUUUCCCCUAUGUUAGUCACAUUUUCGUCGACUGUCCGAUCUUCAUCCAUCGACACCGAGUCUUUAUCAUCCUCCUGCUUCUCUUUGGACCUCCAAUAUAGAGACCCACUCCUUUGAUGCUGGCCUAACCGCAUGUCACCGCCACCCGCAGCCAUCAGCAGUAUGCACGAGUCUCGCCGC